rnacentral:rRNA from 1 species
UACCGAGGGUGCGAGCGUUGUUCGGAAUUACUGGGCGUAAAGCGCGCGCAGGCGGCCCUUUAAGUCUACCCGUGAAAUGCCGGAGCUCAACUCCGCGCACGCCGGGGGAUACUGGGGGGCUGGAGACAUGUAGAGGCAAGCGGAAUUCCGGGUGUAGCGGUGGAAUGCGUAGAGAUCCGGAAGAACACCUGAGGCGAAGGCGGCUUGCUGGGCAUGAUCUGACGCUGAGGCGCGAAAGCGUGGGGAGCAAACAGG